UUCCUCCCAGCGCCAAGAACCCUAGCUAUCCUGCAGUCCCCUCCGUCGUCGCGCCCACCCCCACCUCCGCUCUCCUCCUCCAUCGCGCCGCCCCCGUCUCCGCUCUCCUCCGCCGUCGCGCCGCCCCCGCCUCCCCUCUCCUCCGCCGACCCGCAUCCCCAUCGCGCCCCUGCCUCUCCUCUCUUGCUCUCUCUCCGCGCGAGCUCGCCACCGACCGCAGUGGCCCCUGCAGGUCGCCGCGCCGUCGACCUCCCUUCCUCGCGCCCCCGCCUCCCCUCUCUUCCUCUCUCUCUCCGCGCGAGCUCUUCACCGGCCGCCGUAGCCCCUUCAGGUCGCCGCGCCGUCGACCUCCCUUCCUCGCGCCAUCCUCCUCCCCGCCUCAGAUCUGCGGCGGCAGGGUGUGGGUUUGGCAGCGGCGGCCCUGUGCGGACGUGGCGGCGGCAGGAUUCGAUUUGCUUCGUCUGCUUCGAUCUGGUACCUCCAAAAUCCCAGGUAUAAACUAUAAAGAACAACUAAAAAAUGCCAGGACUGCUUUGUCUGCUUCGAUCUGGUACCUUCAAAUGUGGAUUUAGAUGCUGCUAGUACGAAGUCAGUUGCUUUUGAUGGCUGGUGUAUCACAUUGUAUACUGUUGCACUCUCAAAGGCACAGAUUGUACUCCGAGAUCAUGUUAAGCAAGUUGUUCCAUCAACCUGGGAACCGGCUGCUUUGGCAAGGUUAGAUGCUCAUUUUAGUCCAAACAUACCUUAAGAGGCUAAAACCAUGUGGCUAUUGAAAUAAGAUAAGCCUCUGUAUUUUACUCCUUCAAUAAAGUCCAAAUAGUCUAGUUUCUACUACCAUUUCUCUGAACUGUUUUAUUUCUUAAUGAUACAAUCAUCGUUGAUGGAUGGAUAAGCCUCUGUGCUUUUAUUAAGUUUUGCGUGAACUGAAAUACCCUCCUUCCCUUUUGAAUAACUGAGACAUCCAAACAACUGUUUAUGGUUUUGGCAUUGUGGUAAACAUUACUCUAGUAAUAGUAGUUUGUACUUUACCUUUUUUAUUAGCCUUGACAAAUUCUUUUGGUUCUGAAAUCUGAAGUUUCACCUAUCACAUUUGUUUGUUAACUUCUAUUUAAACUAUUGGUGUUAUUCUAUGCAUAGUUCCUAGUUAUAUUAUAUGCAAAUCUCUUUAUGGAUAUAUCUUUCUCAAAAAUACAUGGCAUAUAUAGUUUGCUACUUUAUUUUGCACUGACAAAAGCAUGCUGGUUUAUGUGCAGCCUGCAUAGCUGUUUCUAUCCGUGAACAUCUUUCUGAGGUUAGGUAUAUUGUACCCUGCUAUUUGUUGUUUACAAAUUAAUGAAAAUUGCUUUGAUUUUUUUUGUUCAAUAAGGGCAUACAAGUUUUUGUCUUUCAUCUAUAAGGUCAUUUGUUGGCAAAUAUAAGGAUUUUGCAGAUUGCUAGUCAAAGUAUUUCUGCUAUGAGAGAAGCUAAAGUUUCAAAGAGAAGGCGAGCACCAGAAUUUGCUUCAUAUAGGUUCAUGCUAGUGUCGAGUGUUAUUUUAGUUUUGGAUAUUCAGUUUUUGUUUUGAAUCUUAUGUUUUUAAUGGAGCUGCAGGACUAAAACCAUUAUUAACUACAGCUUGUUCUAAUUUUGCCAAAUUGAUGUUAUCAUGGAUUUUGCAGUAAAUCAAUGAACAAUGCAGUGGACAUGUUCAAGUACUUUGGUAGCAAAUGAAGUGUCAUCCAGGACUAAGGCAGGGAUUUGUUGCAACUCAAGUGUUUGUUUUACUGAAUCGCUACCACAACGCUGAUAAGGUUUCUAGACCAUGCAAGUUAUGAAGGCUAUAGUAAGGCCAAGUUGUCAAAGCUUCUCAGUUGAUUUAUUAGUUUUCUGCUUCCAAGUUUAAAUAGAUCUAGGUUGUCCUGAUCUUUCGAUUUCCUGUACUGAGAAAUGCUCAUGUACUGUACCGCUCCGAUGGCAUGAAAAAUUCUAGCCAUGAGCUUAUGUAUUGUACUGGUUCGAUGUACAUGAAAAAUAUUAGCCAUGUGUAACAAUUAUUUUGUUUUGAUGUAAUAUGGGCUGAAUAUGUAUGUGGGCUGUAUUCUGGACCGAAAGAGGCUCGUGUGCUAUUUCCUGUCA